CCACCGGACUGCCAACCACAUCCAUGCCCUUCAGGAAAGUGGCAUGGUUUGACAUAGUAGCCCUGUGAGGACAGCCAAGCCCUGCUGGUGAUCAUUUGUGGAUGGCGAGGCCUCUGAAGCCUGGUCCAGAAUCAUUCUGUAGCGCUCCUAUGAACAGAGAUUGUCAGCACAAGGAAAAAGAAAACAAAGGAGACUUGCCUACUCUAAUUGCUGGGAUUCAAUGUGAAGGAUGUUGCCAAACACAAAUCAAGCUUAUCUAUUCAUUAGAGCAGCCUCCUUUUCCUCCUCCCCAUGGGGGAGACAGAUUUUCCAGGUGGCCAGGAGCUGUGUCUGUGCCAGUAACAGAAGCUAUGUCCUUCAUACCUGCACGGAGCACUCACGGCUGCUACCUACUGUGACAUUUCUGGGAAGAUACUGAAACUUUCGAUUAAGACAAAGCCUUUUGUCCUUAAAUGAUUGGAGAGAAGGCUCGGAAUGGCCUGGAAGGGGUGAGACUGCCAGAUGCUGCCCUGAUGUUCACGGUUGAUUUCAUGUCUCUCUGGGGAGCCAGGGAACACAGGGCACCAAAAGGCAAGAGCUUCGGUUUCCUUUCCCCUCCCUUGGCCAUAGAGCAGGUUGGAAAUACUCCUUGGGCUUCAAAGCAAAUGUACAGGGAGGUGUCUUUAAGAUCUUGGACAUAUACCUACUUCUCUGUCAUUAAACUGUCCAGGUUCCUUCUAACCUCUCAGUUGGUCCUAACUUUCAUUUCUAGUUCAUCCUCCCAAAUAUGUGGCUCUCCCAGGUUCUAUUUACGGUUCCCUUUUCUCUCACACCAAUGCCUCACUUCCUCCCCCAGCAUGUCCACUUCCACCCCAGCUCUCCAGCUCUCCAGCCCCUCUCUUCUGGACUCCAGGCCACAUGGCCAUCUCAGUGCGACCCAGACCUGUCUACUGCCGCCUGAGCCAAAUUACUCUGUCCUCUUUCUCCCUGACCUACUCCUCCCACGUCCCCCAUUCCUGUCAAUGGAACUAAAAUCCUCCCAGGCAUCCUGACUCCCAUCUCAGCAUUUCCAGGCUCCCCUCUCCCUCACUGCCCUCAUCAAACCCAUUGUUAGGUCCUGGCACUUGUAAUUCUACAGUGGGUUGCAAAGCCGGAAGUGCUCAGGGCCAGCAGGUGACACAUGAGCUAAGUGCCCAGGGAGGGGCAGGGGUGGUGGAAGGGGACAUGCCCCAUCUGGACAGGACAGCUGUGACUCAGCUCUCCUCUUCCCCAGCUGACUGUUGCCUUCUCAGGACGUGGGCACAGAUCUGUCCAUUUUUAAAUGAAGUCUAUACAUCUAGAUUUAUUUGGAAUUCCCUUUUUAAAAAAUGCUGGCAAUUACUUGCACCUUUUGAAAUCCCUGUAUGCACCAAAUAAAACAAGUCUGUGACCUCAGGGCUUCAGCCUC